GCAGUGGUAGCUCAGUUGGUUAGAGCACCGCCCUGUCACGGCGGGGGUCGCGGGUUCAAGUCCCGUCCACUGCGC
rnacentral:tRNA from 15 species